rnacentral:rRNA from 1 species
UACAGAGGUGGCAAGCGUUGUUCGGAAUUACUGGGCGUAAAGGGCGCGUAGGCGGUUCGUCAAGUCCUGUGUGAAAUCCCCCGGCUCAACUGGGGAACUGCACAGGAAACUAGCGGGCUUGAGUUCGGGAGAGGGAAGCGGAAUUCCGGGUGUAGCGGUGAAAUGCGUAGAUAUUGGGAGGAACACCAGUGGCGAAGGCGGCUACCUGGACCGGUUCUGACGCUGAGGCGCGAAAGCGUGGGUAGCAAACAGG